CGGACGGGUGAGUAACACGUGGAUAACCUACCUAUAAGACUGGGAUAACUUCGGGAAACCGGAGCUAAUACCGGAUAAUAUAUUGAACCGCAUGGUUCAAUAGUGAAAGACGGUUUUGCUGUCACUUAUAGAUGGAUCCGCACCGCAUUAGCUAGUUGGUAAGGUAACGGCUUACCAAGGCAACGAUGCGUAGCCGACCUGAGAGGGUGAUCGGCCACACUGGAACUGAGACACGGUCCAGACUCCUACGGGAGGCAGCAGAU
rnacentral:rRNA from 1 species